GAUGAACGCUGGCGGCGUGCCUAAUACAUGCAAGUCGAGCGAACGGACGAGAAGCUUGCUUCUCUGAUGUUAGCGGCGGACGGGUGAGUAACACGUGGAUAACCUACCUAUAAGACUGGGAUAACUUCGGGAAACCGGAGCUAAUACCGGAUAAUAUUUUGAACCGCAUGGUUCAAAAGUGAAAGACGGUCUUGCUGUCACUUAUAGAUGGAUCCGCGCUGCAUUAGCUAGUUGGAAGGUAACGGCUUACCAAGGCAACGAUGCAUAGCCGACCUGAGAGGGUGAUCGGCCACACUGGAACUGAGACACGGUCCAGACUCCUACGGGAGGCAGCAGUAGGGAAUCUUCCGCAAUGGGCGAAAGCCUGACGGAGCAACGCCGCGUGAGUGAUGAAGGUCUUCGGAUCGUAAAACUCUGUUAUUGGGGAAGAACAUAUGUGUAAGUAACUGUGCACAUCUUGACGGUACCUAAUCAGAAAGCCACGGCUAACUACGUG
rnacentral:rRNA from 1 species